rnacentral:rRNA from 1 species
UACAGAGGGGGCAAGCGUUAUUCGGAAUUAUUGGGCGUAAAGGGCGCGUAGGCGGCUUUGCAAGUGACGGGUGAAAUCCCUCGGCUUAACCGAGGAACUGCCUGUCAAACUGCAUGGCUUGAGACCGGGAGAGGUGAGUGGAAUUCCCAGUGUAGCGGUGAAAUGCGUAGAUAUUGGGAGGAACACCAGUGGCGAAGGCGGCUCACUGGACCGGUACUGACGCUGAUGCGCGAAAGCCAGGGAGCGAACGGG